UACGAAGGGGGCUAGCGUUGCUCGGAAUUACUGGGCGUAAAGGGCGCGUAGGCGGCCUUCUAAGUCAGACGUGAAAUCCCUCGGCUCAACCGAGGAACUGCGUCUGAUACUGGAAGGCUUGAAUCCGGGAGAGGGAUGUGGAAUUCCAGGUGUAGCGGUGAAAUGCGCAGAUAUCAGGAGGAACACCGGUGGCGAAGGCGGAUCUCUGGGCCUUACCUGACGCUCAGGCGCGAAAGCUAGGGGAGCGAACUGG
rnacentral:rRNA from 1 species